AAGUUGGGAUAAUUGGGUGAGAGACAUUAUUGGGGAACUUAUUUAGUUUUCUUGUAAUCUGACACAAGGCCUAGGACAACGAUAAUUUUAGCCACUCUUUUGUCCAAUUUUAACCCCACUCGCUUAUGCACUGUAGAUCAAAGUUUGGCCCAUUAUGAGAGACAAAGGCAAUGAAUUUUGGCAUUCUCGAGAAACUGUUGCGUGUUAUAGCUAUCUAAUUUUCGCAGUCCGACUUUUGGGUGUCUUCUCUCUUUCCUCUUCAUUAUUCCGCGCUUGCUACUGUUAACCCUAAGUCCCAUAACUCUCUGUUCACAUCUGAUUUUUCUUUCAUCAAACUCUCCCUCCGAAGGAAUUAGCAUUAUCAUCUCGAGCCAGUAGGAGACCGAGUGAACUAGUAUUUUAAGCUAUAUGCGAUCAAGGUUAUCCUCAAGGCUUUGCAACCGUCGGAGCUUGAGCUUAUUUGUCCGUGCUUCGGUAAAUUACUCGAUGUUUACUCCAAACCGUCAUUCUCGGGGAAGUUGGCCCAUUUCUUGUUAACUCGGCAGCGGAGCGUUGUAGCGUACAUAUAAGUAUACAAAUGUAAAUAACGCUCUAUAUAUGUGUUUACAUAUAUAUAAAUGUUAAUAAAGCUCUAUGUAUGUGUUUACAUGUACAAAAAUGUUAAUAACGUUCUCUAUAUA